rnacentral:miRNA from 1 species
GGCCUCAUCGUCUGAUGAUCUUGCUAAAAUGCAGAUUCUGAUUUGGUGGGGCCUAAAAUUCUGCAUUUCUAACAAGUUCUCAAGUGCUGCUGAU